UUUUAGCAAUACCAUAAAGAGCUCAUUUCUGUGAUUCCAAGUCAGCCUUAGUUGUUCUAAUGUGCAUAGCAGCUGGAAGAGAAAGCCACGCGAUGGCUGAAGAAGUUGUCUGCAGCAAGAAAAUCACAUCUCAGUUCCCAGGAUUUCAGAGAGAUGAGUCUCCUUCAAUAGUUACAAACCUCUGCAAAACGUUUUGGUGCCUGUUGUGCACUGGUUUGAUCGGAUCUUGGUGAUUUCCUCCUGCAUGCAAUCCAGGGCCUGGUUCUGCUCUUCAUGAUGGAUGAUGCUACCAGGAACCGUGGCUGAUUCAUUGUGCUGAAGGAGGAGAGAAUGGGGAUGUGGAGUUGAUCUUCAUAAUUGGCCUACGUAUUUUGGGUCUGAGACUAUAGGUGUGUUAAUUCCCCUCCGUCUAAGUGUUCCUGACUGCUCCGUGCCUUGCCCCGAGCGGAAAGAUAAAGAAGAGAUCCUUCCAUUUGUAUCAGACAUGGCUUCCUUCCUGGGUUGCCUUUCUUUGUGGCGUAGCACGGCGCUGGCAGAGCUCCUCACGUGGCACAGGAGCCGUGCUGACUCACGCGCUCACACGGGAAAUCCCAGCAUGCUUUCUGGCUGCUUCUCAUUCAAACGAUUCUUCCCAGCCUUCUGCUUUUGGGAAGGGAGCCUCAGUCUGCACCUCACACCCCGGCACUCUGCUGCUGUAAUUCAGCACAAAGAUAGCACAGAAUGGCCUCAGCUGAGAAUAUCUUUAGCACAGUUAAGAACGUGUCAGUCUCCAGCCAGAAGCACAGAAGCAGCACACAUCUUUAGAUGAUACAAGCCAACCUGCUGCCUGGAGCUGGUGGGAUCUGCCUUCAUAUUUGUCAUCUCUUCACAUCAUCGUGUCUCCAUACAGCCGACUGAUGAAGAAACUUUUCUGACUUCUGAUCAUCCCUUCAUACGUUUCUGUCCUUUCCAGUUCUUCCAUCUCCUUUUUGAGUUGAAGACAUAGAGGUCAAAUAUUGCUCAGAGGCACUAAAAGAGGCAUAUGAAGGAAGAGGCAUUGGUGGAUGUGUUUGGAUAUGCUUAAUGAGGAACAGAGAACAGGCUAGUUGCUAAUUGUUUAUCCAAUGCUGUCACCAGCUGUCUGGAGUCUUCCCAGUGAUGUAGGUGAAAAUGGUGACCUGCACAAGGCCUUCACUACUUCGCAGUCACCUUCUCCUUUGUCCAGGGCCUGGUCCCAGAGGCAGCUUCAGUAAAGGUCCCAGCAAUGCUGUAACCCUUUCCAUAUUGCCUAAUUCAUUGCCUGCCAAGACAUGUUUGAAAUAGCCCUGUCUGCAGCCCUGAGGACAAGAGCUGUGUUAUUAACAGAGUGCUUUUAAAGAAAAAUGGCUACUUUUAUUUCCUCUCUCAUUUAUUUAUUUGUUUGUUUGUUUGUUUCACUCCUGCCCCAAAUGAUCAAGAUAGAGAAGCUAAAUAUUGCUCAGUGGCUUAUGUUGUAUGAUAAAUAUUGUCUGUUUCAAGGUGCUAUCUGAAAGCUCAUUCUCACUCAUUUGCAGACAGAACGGUUAUUUCAGGACGGGCAUAAUAUGGAAAUGUUUCUCCUACCCAUUUCUGGAGUCUUUUUUGGUAUCCUGAGCAGCGCCAGAUAUUGGAAUGGCUAUACUGUGUCUGAGUGAAAAGACAGGGUACCUCAGCAGUGGCAUCUACAGCAGGGACAACCACAUGGGUUGCUCUAAAUCAGGACCAGGAAGAUUGUACUGCACGAGAGACUGCCAAAGCUGACAUGGGCCAUGAUGUCAGACUGCUGGAGAAACACCUGGAGGAAUGAGGGGCAGUGAGGGGCACUCAUAGAAGCAAUAAAAGGGCAGAGAAAGCAUCA
rnacentral:lncRNA from 1 species